rnacentral:ncRNA from 1 species
AAUAGUAGCUAAAUUAGAGAUCAACGUUCAUCUAUUUUACCAUAAUUUGGAGUAUUAUAAUGUCUCUAAGUUUUGAAAUAAAAGAAAAAAUUAUUUAUAAUUUCGGCCGUAACGCU